rnacentral:ncRNA from 1 species
AACCCUGCUUGGGAAGGUGUAGCCGCACCACCAAUAGCAAAUCUUGGGCACGGCAUGACAACAUGCCGGGUUAAGCGUAGGAAGUCAGGCGAUAGGGUCAUAAGGCAGUUUAGCUCCGAAAUCGCUGAUAACUGAUGCGCCGACACUGUUUACAAAGUGGAAGGCAAAACAGACAGAAUUCGCUAAGGCAAGAACCUGUCUGGCAUCACGGGGUUGG